CAUCUACCCAGCCAUUUCUCCCGUGUGCCCACCUUCCCCUACCAUCCACCCAGCCAUCACCCACCCAUUAGUCAUUCCCCCAUCCACUCACCUAUCAUCCAUCAUCCAUCCAUCCCUACAAACAUCUACCAAUUCAUUCAUUCAUUCAUUUGCUCAUUCAUCUCCUCACCUACCUAAUACGUAUCCAUUCUCCCAUCCGCAACCCAUUCAUCCACCUAUAUCCAUCCAUCUGUUAUCUAUUCACAGAUUCAGUCACCUACCUACCUACCAGCCUAUCCAUCCAUCCGUCUCUCCAUCCAUCAGCCCACACACUGGCCACCCACACAUUCACUCCCCCAUCCGUCCACUCAUCCAGCCACCACUCAAUCCAUGUGCAUAUGCAUGCCACAAACAUUUACAUGUUUCAGGGUUGUGCUGGGUGCCGAGGUGAUAAUGCUGACUGGACAGUAUUCUCUCUCCUCACAGACUGCAUUCUUGCUCCCAUCAUUUUAGUGCCACAGCCGGUCUGCAGCAAGUGGAGGACACAGAGGCUAAGGGUCCAGUCUACCUUUGGGGACCGUAGGUGGUGAAGAAGACCCACAGAGCACGUAACACAUGUGGGGCACUGAGAUAAGAGCCAUCAAUCAAGCAUUUUGACAGCGAUGAGCAAAGGGAAUAAUGUACGCCACGAGUCUUCAGCCCAUGUUGGAACCUGGAGAGACUCGAGUCUAGUGGCAGGGAUGAGGCGUCGCCAGCAGCUACAGAGGAGCCUGAAUCUCCCAUUGUCUUUCAGAUGUCCGGCUAAUCACCGCAGGAUGGCUUGGCCUCAGUGGAGAAUGUCUUGUAGUUUACAUAACAACAGACCUAGGCCCUGGCUGUGCCUGCACCUAUUCUGAGAACUUGCUUACGUGCCUAGAGACUGUUGAGUGCCUCUGGAAUCAAAAGAAAUUUUUGAUAUCUGCUUUAUACAUGAUAAUAGAUGUCUUUUGCGGUCACCCCCACUGCUGGAAAGCUAUUUAAGAGGAUGCUUUGAAUAAACUGGAGACACCAGUUUCCACCAUGGAUUGAGAGCCCUCCUGAAAUGACAAGAUGUCCGUGUCUCGUCUUAAUCGCCGUUGGGUAGCUACGAGUUUCCCGGUCCAGCACCCCCUGACUCGGGUAUGGACCUGGUGCCAUUGGGCUGGCUCCGAUCUCAGCCCCAAAGACUUCAGUCCAGAAUAGAUAGCCUCUGUAGCAUGGGAGUGAUACAAGCCAGGCCUCGGCAGGAAGCCAUUAUUCCCACAGCCCCAGCCACUCCUGGGCCAUCCCUGCAUAAAAUGUAAUCCUGGGCAGGAGACAUCAUGUCAGGAGAGCCAGCCCUCAUCCAGCAGCUGGUGGAAGUAGAAGCAGACACCCACAACUAAUCACUGAACUGAACUGGAAUCCAGCUGCAAAGGACAAGUGAAGAGCCAAGGGGUCCAGACCAGGCUGGCGAAACCCACAGAAACAACUGACCUGAACAUAACAACUGACUGAUAGCUGGGAUACCAGCAUGGGACUGAUCCAGACCCUAGGAACAUGGGUUUCAGUGAGGAAACCUUGGAAAUCUACGGGACCUCCUGUAGUAGUUCAG
ensembl:lncRNA